rnacentral:rRNA from 1 species
GAUGAACGCUGGCGGCGUGCCUAAUACAUGCAAGUCGAGCGAACGGACGAGAAGCUUGCUUUUCUGAUGUUAGCGGCGGACGGGUGAGUAACACGUGGAUAACCUACCUAUAAGACUGGGAUAACUUCGGGAAACCGGAGCUAAUACCGGAUAAUAUUUUGAACCGCAUGGUUCAAAAGUGAAAGACGGUCUUGCUGUCACUUAUAGAUGGAUCCGCGCUGCAUUAGCUAGUUGGUAAGGUAACGGCUUACCAAGGCAACGAUGCAUAGCCGACCUGAGAGGGUGAUCGGCCACACUGGAACUGAGACACGGUCCAGACUCCCACGGGAGGCAGGAGUAGGGAAUCUUCCGCAAUGGGCGAAAGCCUGACGGAGCCACGCCGCGUGAGUGAUGAAGGUCUUCGGAUCGUAAAACUCUGUUAUUAGGGAAGAACAUAUGUGUAAGUAACUGUGCACAUCUUGACGGUACCUAAUCAGAAAGCCACGGCUAACUACGUG